GAUGGUGCAUGACCAUUCUUAGUUUGUGGAGCGAUUUGUCUGGUUAAUUCUAAUAAAGAACGAUAUAUACUCUAGACUAUUAAAUAAGCGCGGGGUUCUCAGCACCUUACAACCUUAUUAGAUGGACAAGCGGCUCCUAGCCGCACGCAUUAGUUAGAGCAAUAACAGGUCUGUGAUGCCCU
rnacentral:rRNA from 1 species